GAUGAACGCUGGCGGCGUGCCUAAUACAUGCAAGUCGAGCGAACGGACGAGAAGCUUGCUUCUCUGAUGUUAGCGGCGGACGGGUGAGUAACACGUGGAUAACCUACCUAUAAGACUGGGAUAACUUCGGGAAACCGGAGCUAAUACCGGAUAAUAUUUUGAACCGCAUGGUUCAAAAGUGAAAGACGGUCUUGCUGUCACUUAUAGAUGGAUCCGCGCUGCAUUAGCUGGUUGGUAAGGUAACGGCUUACCAAGGCAACGAUGCAUAGCCGACCUGAGAGGGUGAUCGGCCACACUGGGACUGAGACACGGUCCAGACUCCUACGGGAGGCAGCAGUAGGGAAUCUUCCGCAAUGGGCGAAAGCCUGACGGAGCAACGCCGCGUGAGUGAUGAAGGUCUUCGGAUCGUAAAACUCUGUUAUUAGGGAAGAACAUAUGUGUAAGUAACUGUGCACAUCUUGACGGUACCUAAUCAGAAAGCCACGGCUAACUACGUG
rnacentral:rRNA from 1 species